GGGAAUGUACCAUGAAUCACAUGAAUUUGGUGGUCAUAUGUUCAACACUCACCUAGAGGUUAGACCAUUGCAUCAUUUGAUUUUGUAUGCGUCUUACAUCUGGGCUGGUUAAUUUUAUAAUUUGUGAAUACCGUGAUUAGAACAUUUAAAUUCCCAUCUUUAAAUGGUACAUGUCUGAAGAAUUCGCACAGAUCUUGUGAGUGCAUUUAAAGUUUUGUUGCUUUCAUUUAUUAAAAAAUGAUCUGCUUAAUUCUUACAUGUUCCUCCUCUCUUGGGCAAAUAGCAGUGCUCCGUGGUGUCAUCUGGUUAUGGAGAAAUUUAGGACAAAAAGGGCAGGUUAAGCGCAAGGCUGGAAUCAACUAAGAGCAGAGAAUUUGAAUGUGCAUGAGAUAUCUUAUCGAGUAUAACUGUUUAAGGAGAAGCUGAUUUUUUUCUUAGCAUAAUCUAAUACACUUACUGAUAUGAUUUAUCCGUAUCUGUUGGGAGGAUGAAAUCUCAUCAAUUUUUAUUUUAGUUUAUUAUGAUUGUAUUUUUAGUCUAAUGUACAAUUUUCCAGCACUUGGCUUUGCUAGAUCUCGAUAAUGACACUGCAUUAUUUGGCGUUUUUAUGUAUAUGGAGCAUGAAAGUAACUAAAUGCAAAGAAUAGUACUUUUUACGUCUAUGAUUUAUUUCACAUCAAAACUGUAUUUUUAUUUGCAAAUGUAGCAACAAUAUACUAAUUUGAUGUACUUUUUUCUAGGGUGUUCUCGACAAAGAAAGCUUGUACCUUAAAACAGGAGGAUACAAGAAGCUGGAGUGCUUGUCUGAAGGCUUUUGAACUGCUUGAAGCAUUAGUGUAGCUUUGGUGCUUUUGUGACUGAUCAACUCUGGAGCAGCUAGAAUGAUGUAGUUGUGGGCUUUUGAACAAUAGCUGAAGUGAUAUGAAACAUUAGUGAUGUAGUUGUGGGCUUUUGAACUGCUUCAAGCUGGAGUGAUGUCGUUGUGGUGCUUUUGUGAUUGAUCAUCUCUGGAGCUUUUGUGAAUGAUCUAGCUAGCUAUCUGUAAAUGAUCUAGUUGUGAAUGAUAUUAUAAUUGUGAUGCUUUUGUGAAUA
rnacentral:lncRNA from 1 species